rnacentral:rRNA from 1 species
AGAGUUUGAUCCUGGCUCAGAUUGAACGCUGGCGGAAUGCUUUACACAUGCAAGUCGAGCGGCAGCGCGGGGGGUAACCUCUGGCGGCGAGCGGCGAACGGGUGAGUAAUACAUCGGAACGUACCCUGACGUGGGGGAUAACUAACCGAAAGGUUAGCUAAUACCGCAUACGUCCUGAGGGGGAAAGCAGGGGAUUCGUAAGGACCUUGCGCGUUAGGAGCGGCCGAUGGCGGAUUAGCUUGUUGGUGAGGUAAAGGCUCACCAAGGCGACGAUCCGUAGCGGGUCUGAGAGGACGACCCGCCACACUGGAACUGAGACACGGUCCAGACUCCUACGGGAGGCAGCAGUGGGGAAUUUUGGACAAUGGGGGCAACCCUGAUCCAGCCAUUCCGCGUGAGUGAAGAAGGCCUUCGGGUUGUAAAGCUCUUUCGGCAGGGAAGAAACGGUCUCUCCUAAUACGGGAGAUUAAUGACGGUACC